AGAGUUUGAUCCUGGCUCAGGAUGAACGCUGGCGGCGUGCUUAACACAUGCAAGUCGAACGAAGCAACUAUCUUGCUUGCAAGAGAGUUGACUUAGUGGCGGACGGGUGAGUAACGCGUGGGUAACCUGCCUCAUACAGGGGGAUAACAGUUGGAAACGACUGCUAAGACCGCAUAACCCGCUAGUGUCGCAUGACACGGACGGAAAAUAUUUAUAGGUAUGAGAUGGGCCCGCGUCUGAUUAGCUAGUUGGUAAGGUAACGGCUUACCAAGGCGACGAUCAGUAGCCGACUUGAGAGAGUGAUCGGCCACAUUGGGACUGAGACACGGCCCAAACUCCUACGGGAGGCAGCAGUGGGGAAUAUUGGACAAUGGGGGAAACCCUGAUCCAGCGAACCGCCGCGUGAGUGAAGAAGUAUUUCGGUAUGUAAAGCUCUAUCAGCAGGGAAGAUAAUGACAGUACCUGACUAAGAAGCCCCGGCUAACUACGUGCCAGCCGCAGC
rnacentral:rRNA from 1 species